rfam:Cavia porcellus supercont2_19 genomic scaffold, whole genome shotgun sequence.
GGGGAUUUAGCUCAGCGGCAUAAGCGCCUGCCUUGCAAGCAGGCAGUCGUGAGUCCGAUCCCCG